AACGAACGCUGGCGGCAGGCUUAACACAUGCAAGUCGAGCGAGACCUUCGGGUGUAGCGGCGGACGGGUGAGUAACGCGUGGGAACGUGCCCUUCUCUACGGAAUAGCCCCGGGAAACUGGGGGUAAUACCGUAUACGCUCCUUGGGGGAAAGAUUUGUCGGAGAAGGGUGGGCCCGCGUUGGUCUAGGUAGUUGGUGGGGUAUUGGCCCACUACGCAUUAGAUCCAUAGCUGGGUUGAGAGAAAGAUCAGCCACACUGAGACUAAGACGCGGCCCAGACUCCUACGGGAGGCAGCAGUGGGGAAUCUUAGACAAUGGGGUCAACCCUGAUCUAGCCAUGCCGCGUGAGUGAUGAAGGCCUUAAGGUUGUAAAGCUCUUUCAGCUGGGAAGAUAAUGACGGUACCAGCAGAAUAAGCCCCGGCUAACUCCGUG
rnacentral:rRNA from 1 species